AACGAACGCUGGCGGCAUGCCUAACACAUGCAAGUCGAACGAAGUCUUCGGACUUAGUGGCGCACGGGUGCGUAACGCGUGGGAAUCUGCCCUUGGGUACGGAAUAACUCAGAGAAAUUUGUGCUAAUACCGUAUAAUGUCUUCGGACCAAAGAUUUAUCGCCCAAGGAUGAGCCCGCGUAAGAUUAGCUAGUUGGUGGGGUAGAAGCCUACCAAGGCGACGAUCUUUAGCUGGUCUGAGAGGAUGAUCAGCCACACUGGGACUGAGACACGGCCCAGACUCCUACGGGAGGCAGCAGUGGGGAAUAUUGGACAAUGGGCGAAAGCCUGAUCCAGCAAUGCCGCGUGAGUGAUGAAGGCCCUAGGGUUGUAAAGCUCUUUUACCAGGGAUGAUAAUGACAGUACCUGGAGAAUAAGCUCCGGCUAACUCCGUG
rnacentral:rRNA from 1 species